rnacentral:rRNA from 1 species
GAUGAACGCUGGCGGCGUGCUUAACACAUGCAAGUCGAACGGUGAAAGCGGAGCUUGCUCUGCUGGAUCAGUGGCGAACGGGUGAGUAACACGUGAGCAAUCUGCCCCUGACUCUGGGAUAAGCGCUGGAAACGGCGUCUAAUACCGGAUACGAGCUGCGAAGGCAUCUUCAGCAGCUGGAAAGAACUUCGGUCAGGGAUGAGCUCGCGGCCUAUCAGCUUGUUGGUGAGGUAAUGGCUCACCAAGGCGUCGCCGGGUAGCCGGCCUGAGAGGGUGAACGGCCACACUGGGACGGAGACACGGCCCAGACUCCUACGGGAGGCAGCAGUGGGGAAUAUUGCACAAUGGGCGAAAGCCUGAUGCAGCAACGCCGCGUGAGGGACGACGGCCUUCGGGUUGUAAACCUCUUUUAGCAGGGAAGAAGCGAAAGUGACGGUACCUGCAGAAAAAGCACCGGCUAACUACGUGCCAGCAGCCGCCGUAACAC